UACGUAGGGUGCGAGCGUUGUCCGGAAUUAUUGGGCGUAAAGAGCUCGUAGGCGGUGUGUCGCGUCGGCCGUGAAAAUCCGAGGCUCAACCUCGGACUUGCGGUGGGUACGGGCAGACUAGAGUGUGGUAGGGGAGACUGGAAUUCCUGGUGUAGCGGUGAAAUGCGCAGAUAUCAGGAGGAACACCGAUGGCGAAGGCGGCAUCCUGGACCAACACUGACGCUGAGGAGCGAAAGCCAGGGGAGCAAACGGG
rnacentral:rRNA from 1 species